CACGUAGGGCGCAAGCGUUGUCCGGAAUUAUUGGGCGUAAAGAGCUCGUAGGCGGUCUGUUGCGUCUGCUGUGAAAACUCGGGGCUUAACCACGAGCCUGCAGUGGAUACGGGCAGACUAGAGGUAGGUAGGGGAGAAUGGAAUUCCCGGUGUAGCGGUGAAAUGCGCAGAUAUCGGGAGGAACACCGGUGGCGAAGGCGGUUCUCUGGGCCGAUACUGACGCUGAGGAGCGAAAGCGUGGGGAGCAAACAGG
rnacentral:rRNA from 1 species